GUACCGCUGUAGUCUGUGAUGCUACCUGAAGGGAGACCACGUCUUCCCAGAAAUCUAAUCACCAGCUGCCUACAACUUCCCCAAACACCCACCUGAACACUGUUUUACUCCUCACCACCCUCACUCUGCAGAAUCACAUGACAGCCCAACAUUGUUACUUCACCUAGUGGCAAGUAUGCAGAUCAAUUUUUUCCAUUCCCUUUCCUACCGUAGUCUUUCUGUCAGAGAUGUUUGAACCAGAGCAACUCCAUCUCGAAUACGAACUGGGUAAAAUAAGGCUGAGACCUACUGGGCUGCAUUUCCAGGUGGUUAGGCACUCUAAGUCACAGGAUGAGACAGAAGGUCGGCACAAGAUAUAGGUCACAAAGGCCUUGCUGAUAAAAUAGCAUGAGGUAAAGAAGCCAGACUAAACCCACCAAAACCAAGAUGGUGAUGAAAGUGACCUCUGGCCGUCCUCACUGCUCAUUAUACGCUAAUUAUAAUGCGUUAGCAUGCUAAAAGACACUCCCACCAGUGCCAUGACAGUUUACAAGUGCAAUGGCAAUGUCAGGAAGUUACCCUAUAUGGUCUAAAAGGGGGAGGAACCCUCAGUUCCAGGAAUUGCCCACCCCUUUCCUGGAAAUCUCAUGAAUAAUCCACCCUUUGUUUAACAUAUAAUCAGGAAAUAACCAUAAGUAUCAACAGUGGAACAGCCCACGCUGCUGCUCUGCCUAUGGAGCAGCCAUUCUUUAUUCCCUUACUUUCUUAACAAACUCGCUUUCACUUUACGGAUUCAACUGUAAUUCUUUCUUGUGUGAGAUCCAAGAACCUUCUUGUAGGGUCUGGAUUGGGACCCUUUUCUGGUAACAUCUUCCUGGUGACCAUGAAGGGACAAUAUUGAAGAGACCCCUGACCCUAAGGAAAUAGACUGCAGCACCAAUGGGCCAACUUUGGUGAUCUCUGGCUGCUGCUCAGAAGAAACAAGAGGGAGGGAUGAGUAAUGUAAAACUCUGGAUCAAUAUUCUAAUUCUGAGCCUCUAUUGGAAUCAGCUAGCAACCACAUAUCAGCUUGGUUUCAACAGUUUCCCAGUUCAUGCUGCUGAGAAGUUCAGAGUCAAACCUGAAUCUCACCUCUGCAAAGAGCACAGGACUCCAUGGCAAACGUUGUAUAUACGCAAGUCAUCCCUGGCACCACCUUCAUUUACUGCACCAGGCUUUCUUCAUUGUGAUGAUGUUCUCUCUCUUUUCUAAAAAAAAAAAAAAAAAAAAAAAAAAAAAAAAAUCCU